AAUAAUAUUUACAUGGUUUAGCUAAAUUAAACUGUUAUUUCUCUGUCUGACUCUACGCAGCCAUUUGCCAAAAAACCUAAAUAAGAUAUUUUUCCCAUUUUAUUUCCCCUUUGUUCGUUAUUUGGUUCAGUUUAAUCAGAGCUACCUUGUGUUACGUUGUUUCCUUGUUAGUUUGGUAUAAAGUUAAACUUCUAGCUAAAAGUUUUAACCAAGAAGGAUAAUAUUAACAGGAGAUAUGAAUGAAUGUAAGAAUUGAACCCUGAUAAAACGCGACAUGCACUACAAAUUGAAGGUAUGAAAUUAAGUUAAAUGAAAGCUCGUUUAUUCACCAUAUGAUGCUCGUUAUGAGGUAAUCAUAUAGGCUAGAUACCGUGAGUUAACGAGGUCGUUUACAUGCACGUGAGUGCACGGAUAUCGGUUAAUUAUUCAAAUUACUGAAAAACACACGGAGAAAACCGCAACCGCAUCGUCAUGUUUUUUUUUUUGAUGUAUGCAAACAGGGGAAAUAUCACCAAACCAACAAUUCAUUUUACCAAAAACUCACUAUAUAUCAUCAUUUGUAUGCACAGAUUGCUGGAUUGGAUGCAUUGUGUGUUGUAAGCUUUUCGUGGCGCUAGAUGUCAGACAGAUGCAAAUGGCAAAUACAUACGAAAGUGUAAAACGUGUAUGGCGAACAUUUGUUUUUCUGUCAUUAUAGAUGCUAGUUUGGUGAAAGUACACACUGAGUGCUUCAAAUCAUUCAGAAGAGAUGCUGUUUUUAGGGCAGUUUAUUAAAGAAGACCUGACAUGGAUGACUUCCAAUGAGAAACGACUGCUAAUACUUAUAUAAAUUCAUUACAGAAGGACCCUACCAGACUAUAUUUGAAUACGGCAUACCCAUGAAUUCUGGAACUUUUAUUUCUUAACCCAGUUUGGAGGAUAAGAGCUUACCAACUAGUUAUAAAUGUGCUGAGGCGAUGUAUUGCAAAAUAGCCAACAUACAACAAUUAAAGGAUAAUUGCAGCCUAUAUCCUGAUGAAGAUAUGGAUGACCCUCUGUCUGGUCAACAGGAGUUUAAAUAUGGAUGGGGCAGUUAUGUGGCAGCUCUUCCAUGGCUCAUUCACCUCUUGCCUUCAUUUGUGAAAGGAAGAAAGACUGGAGAGGGUCAAUGUGCAACUGAAGCUACUGAUUGUGCUGUGUGAUGAGCAUCAAUCCAUGCUUUGAGGUGGAUGGAUCAGCACAGCCCUGCCUGCUCUGCGUUGGGAACAAAAGUUGCAUCAUUCUGGACCAAAAAGCCAUUCCCUGCAUGAUGAAGACCACUGAUGCAGCCUCCCACUACAUCAUGAGUAAAACAACUACAGAACUAAAUACCAGGUUGGAACGUGUUUAAGAAAAAUGAAACGUCUUUUGAAUUGAAAUGUCUGUUUUGUUAUGGAAAAAUCUUUAGUAUUGUGAAGGAUAAGCAUUUCUGCUUGCCGAUAAGGUAAUUGCAUGUCUUUUAAUGUUCAAGUUUUGAGUAGGGUGGCUAAUUUUUUUAACUCUUAUUUGAUUUAUUAAAGACCUUAUAAUAAGUGAUUUUCAUGUCACUGUGCUGUGGUAUAAGAUAACUUUCAUUAUUCCGUACUGUAUUCUGUUUCUAAUUGUAGCUGAGGUAUUUAAAUAAGCAGUGUUAAAUGCAAAGUGUUGUGUGUAUCAAUGUAAAUAUUAAAUGUGAUUUACUUUAAUAAAAAGAGGUUUUGCAAUAUUUCUUGUCAUUUUUCUUUUAUAGAAACAACCCAUUAGCAACAAAAGUGGCUAU